UUCGCCAUUUGUGGAUUAUGGCUCUCACUGUGGUUCGCUGGAGUCCCAAAGAUUUAGAAAUGGCUUUAUAACCUUUCCCUGUCGUGGUUAGUCACCAUGCUGGGUGAUCCCUGCAGUAUUCUGUGCAGUUUUCCCUCUCCCUGUGUGUGUCCUCCGUUUGUCUGUAGCAUAUCUGUGUGCUCCGGCUCCCCGGGCUUCCACCUGCUGCUGAUCACCGGCGCACCUGUCAUCAAUCAUCAUCAGUCUCCACAGCAUAAAGACCGCUCUUCCUCAUCUCCAGUGCCAGAUUGUCUCCGUAUACCUACAUCCCUCUCGCCGGUGAUCACAGCCACGUCACCUCACAGAUCUCUGCCAACCUGUUCGCCCGUCCUGUUCCUGCUCAUCCAGCUAACCAGCGGUCUCCCUGCUCAGCCAGCUAACCAGCAGUCUCCCUGCUCUGCCAACUAACCAGCGGUCUCCCUGCUCAGUCAGCUGACCAGCGGUCUCCCGGCUCUGCCAGUUAGUCAGCCGUCUCCCUGCUCAGUCAGCUAACCAGCGGUCUCCUAGCUCCUCCGGUGAAAACCCUGUGCCACUCGGAGCCAACUCACGCCAUUCUACGGAGCCGUUGCUGGCCUCACAUUGCCAUCCUCUGUUCUUGGUUCCGUGCAGUUUCGUCCAGGAGUGAGUUCACCGCUUUCCCAAGAGCUGUAGUUCCUGGAGUGAGUUCACCGCUUUUCCAAGAGCUGUAGUGGACAGCUCUUAUUCCACCCUCGAGAAAAGACUUUUCUUUUUCUUUUCUAGCUUUUGCACUAACAUCUGUGUGAAUAAAAAUGAACUUAUCUCCUCA